rnacentral:misc_RNA from 1 species
UUUCCGUAGGUGAACCUGCGGAAGGAUCAUUAAAGAGAAUAUGCCCUUCGGGGUAGAUCUCCCACCCUUUGUUUAUAUUACCUUUGUUGCUUUGGCAGGCCCGUCUUCGGACCACCGGCUUCGGCUGGUCAGUGCUUGCCAGAGGACCCAAAACUCUUUUUAUUAAUGUCGUCUGAGUACUAUAUAAUAGUUAAAACUUUCAACAACGGAUCUCUUGGUUCUG